UACGUAGGGUGCGAGCGUUAAUCGGAAUUACUGGGCGUAAAGCGUGCGCAGGCGGUUCGUCGUGUCCGAUGUGAAAGCCCCGGGCUCAACCUGGGAAUGGCAUUGGAAACUGGCGGACUCGAGUGUGGCAGAGGGGGGUGGAAUUCCGCGUGUAGCAGUGAAAUGCGUAGAGAUGCGGAGGAACACCGAUGGCGAAGGCAGCCCCCUGGGUUGACACUGACGCUCAGGCACGAAAGCGUGGGGAGCAAACAGG
rnacentral:rRNA from 1 species